UCCUUCUCCUGGUGUCCAUUUCUGGAACUGCUAUUUGUAUAUUGCAUGAUAUUUUAUCAAGAAAAAAAACAGAUCUAAUUUCAUGAAAAUGCUGUUGCCAUAAUGCUCAGGAGAACAGGGGGAAGAGAAAGAUUCAAGUCUUCCUAAUGUCUACCUUGUAUGCAGAGCGUUGGAAAGAUGGGCAAAUGCUCUGUGACAAGCCACCAGGGCAGACUGGUACUGGGAAGACCCCACUACACAUUGGGCUCUGUCCCUGGCUGGAAAGUUUCAAGUCAGUCCACCUCCCUGUGGUCCAGUUUCCACUCCUACUACUCUUUACCCAUGAGGAGCUUCUGGAAACUAAGAAAGCAGCUGCCUCGGGAGAACAGGGUUGACCAAAGCACAUAUCUCCAACACCUACUGUUAAUCAUGUGACUAGAGAAAACUCUUGCGGGGGGCAUUCAAAUUUCCAUAACCUUCUUCUAUGGAAAUUUCUAAGAGACCCAGAAAAGGAACGUAACCAUGAGGGAGAGUGAAUCCUGCAGACUUGAACAGUCCAGACUUAACAGGUGAUCCAGCUGUCUGUCAGUAGGAAGAGGCUGAGGCGCCCCCUUCUGGUGCAUAUGAAUAGGAAGAAACCCUGUGUAGAAAGAAACCCUGUAGCAACUGGGCACCUUCUCUGUGAUCCGUCCACUCCCAAUACCAAAAUUGUUGCUUUUUAAAUGACAUCCAUCCUAAGUUUAAAAAGACAUGCAUUAUUCAUACAAAAUGUUAAAGAUGUAGAACAAAAAAUGUGAAUCACAUAUAAUCAUCCCUCCCAGAAAACAUCGUUAUUAAAAUUUCUGUGCAUAUGUAAAGCAAAAUUACAAUCCUACUGUAAUAUAAUUCUGUAUAUUGAUAUUUUUCACCUAUAUUUGUAUGUUGAGCAUUUUCAAUGGUCAAAUUAUUUCUUAAAAAUAUUAAGGACUGGGGAGUAACCUUUAAAACAGGUGUGUCUUUAUUUUUAAACUAGUCCACAAUUCUUGUAUAUGGAAGUCACUUCCCAAAUUUUGCAAGUAUAAAUAUUGCAUCCACACUCUUAUAUGUUUAAAUGCAUCUCUUAUUAGUUCCUUGAGUUAACUUCCUAGAAGUUGAAUUACCGGAUCUAAAAAUACGGACAUAUUUGGGCCAGACAUGGUGGCUCACCCCUGUAAUCCCAGCACUUUGGGAGGCCAAAGCAGGUAAAUCACUUGAGGUGAGGAGUUCAAGACCAGCCUGGCCAACAUAGUGAAACCCUAUCUCUACUAAAAUUACAAAAAUUAGCCAGGUGUGGUGGCACAUGCUUGUAGUUCCAGCUAGUCAGGAGGCUGAGGCAGAAGAAUCACUUGAACCCAGGAGGUGGAGGUUACAGUGAGCCAAGAUGGUGCUACUACACUUCAGCCUGGGCAAGAGUGAGACUUCAUCUCAAAAAAUAAAAAAAAAAUAAAGAAUAAAUAAAAAUGUGAACAUAUUUAAGAUCUUCAUAUAUAUUACCAAUUGCCCUCCUGGAAUAUUUUACCUGUUACAUUCCAACCAAUAGUAUAAGGACAUCCCUCUUUCUCUGUGUUUAGGCAUGGAUGUUAUCAAAGUUCUCUGCCACCCAGGCCAAAUAUGGUAUAUGCUUUGUUUUAAUUUGAAUUUUAAAAUUAUUAUUUAAAAUGGACAUUUUGUGGUCCCUUUGCACAACUUUCUUUUGAGUCACUGUUCAUGUUAUUUGCCCAUUGUUUCUUUUAUUAAUAAGAACCCUAUUCUUAUUUUUAUAUUUUCAAUAAAAUUUCAUCGUAUAUACAUUUAUAUUAUUUAUAAUAAAGUAUAUUUUAUUAUUAAUGAGAACUCUUUUUAUAUUAAGGACCCUAACCUAC